GGAAGAGGAAAGACGGAGAUUGGAAUUAGAUCGAGGAAAGCAGGAGGUGUUGGGCUCAUUGUCGCGAUCUUCUGUCUCUCUCUUUUUCUCUUCGUUUUUGGCUGGGUUCUUCGCAUGUAGAGGAAAAAUGCCAUGCACAUAUCGUCGAAAGAGACUUGACUGAGCUGGUGAGAUGUUGCAGCUGGGGGUUAUCAAUAAAUUGAUUGAGUUAGGUCUUGAGAUUGUGCAAUGAGGCUAUCAAUUAUAGUAUUUUCCCAGUGGAGUUUAGUAUCAUUCUGUUUGGUAUAGCCAAGUUGCAGCUCCAGCAAAUAGAGUGAAGGCUUGAAGAAUAAGAGAAGCAGCACAAGGUCUGAUGGUCAGGUUGAAGAGAUACUUGGAGAUGAGGGGUGCUGAUGGAGGGCCGGCCUUGGAGAAGCUAGCUUAUGUGCUUUGCUUGCAUUUUGGGUAAUAAGCUAAGCUAACUAAUUCAUUUCUUAUCAAUUGCACUUGCUUUCAACAUUUUUUUCUAAUACAUAUACAAACAUGAAACAAAUAUUCAUAUCAUUUUGAAUCAAAACAUUUGAACUUGACUGGUUAAUGAUUAACUAUUAAUAACUCUAGCAACAUAGGUACUGAUUGUGUCUUUCUUUGAAAUUUGAGAUUGGUUUAUUGUAUGAUGAGGUUUCCCUGCAGAAUGUAUUAGACAUGACAGCUCCCUAAACUCCUAAAGAAAGACAGAUGCUGAGAGAGAAGGUGAUAAACACAUGUUAAAAAAAAGUGUCAUCCUGCAAAUACUUGGAAUAGAUUGACUUAAUAACUUUUCACAUCUAAGUUUGAAUAUUUUUUUAAAGCACGUUCCAGAAACAGGACUAAAGACACCAUUUUGUGAUGCAUGUUGCUGAAGAUGUAAUGAAGUCUGCAUUUUGCAGAGGAGGGCCUGGAAUGAAGAGCCUUUAAGGAAUCAAGUUCUUAAUGAAGUGGUCGAGGUUGUGAGCACCAUUUUGAAGAACCUCCAUUGAUAUGUGGUGACGAACAUCAACACCUCUUUUCAGCAGACAGAUCAAAUGUAGCUAGGUUAGCCUAUUAAGUAGAACAAUAUAUUUUUGAGAAGCUGUGUCAACAGCAGUUGUAUUGUAUAUUUGCACAUUAUCAGAACAUUCACAUUAAUGGUAAUGUU